rnacentral:rRNA from 1 species
GGUGGAGGUAGUGACAAUAAAUCACAAUGCGGAACAAUGUUUUGCAAUUGGAUUGAGAACAACGUACAAACCUUAUCGAUAAACAAUUGGAGGGCAAGUCUGGUGCCAGCAGCCGCGGUAAUUCCAGCUCCAAUAGCGUAUAUUAACGUUGUUGCAGUUAAAAAGCUCGUAGUUGAAAUGAAGGGUAGUUGUGUAAUGAAUACAUUCGUGUAUUUUGUUAUUCUACUACCCUCCUUCUAAAUUCGAUAUAUGAGUAUUAAUUUACUUGUAUAUGGUUUUAGACGUUUACUGUGAGAAAAUUAGAGUGUUCAAAGCAGGCAUUUGCUUGAAUAUAUUAGCAUGGAAUAAUCAUGUAUGAUUUUCAUGAUGUAUUUGAUUGGUUUGGUUCAUGAGAAUAAGAUUAAAAGGGACAGUUGGGGGUAUUCAUAUUCAAUAGUCAGAGGUGAAAUUCUCGGAUUUAUGGAAGAUGAACAAGUGCGAAAGCAAAC